ensembl:lncRNA
GGUAGAGGAGGAAAGGAGGUAGAGGAGGAAGAGAGGGGGAGGAGGAAGAGAGGGAGAGAAGGAAGAGAGUGAGAGGAGGAAGGAGGGAGAGGAGAAAAUGAGGUAGAGGAGGAAAGGAGGUAGAGGAGGAAAGUAGGUAGAGGAGGAAGAGAGGGGGAGGAAAGGAGGGAGAGGAGGAAGAGAGGGAGAGGCAAAGAAGGAAUGAGAGGAGUAAAGAGAGGGAGAGGAGGUGAGGAGGAGAGGAAGGACAGGAGGAAGAGAGGGAGAAGAGUAAAAGAGGGAGAGGAGGAAAGGAAGGAGAGGAGGUAGAGAGGGAGAGGAAAGCAGGGAGAGGAGGAAGAGAGGGAGAGGAGGCAGAGAGGGAGAGGAGGAAAGGAAGGAGAGGAGGAAGAGAGGGAGAGGAGGAAGGGAGGGAGAGGAGGAAAGGAGGGAGAGGAGGAAGAGCGGGAGAGGAGGUAAGGAGGGAGAGGAGGAAGAGAGGGAUAGGAGGAAAGGAGGGAGAGGAUGGAGAGAGGGAGAGGAGGAAAGGAGGUAGAGGACGAAAGGAGAUAGAGGAGGCAGAGAGAGAGAGGAGGAAAGGAGGGAGAGGAGGUAGAGAGGGAGAGCAAAGCAGGGAGAGGAGGAAGAGAGGGAGAGGAGGAAGAGAGGGAGAGGAGAAAAGGAGGGAGAGGAGGAAGAGAG